UACGGGGGGAGCAAGCGUUGUUCGGAUUUACUGGGCGUAAAGGGCGCGUAGGCGGUCACCGCAAGUCGACUGUGAAAUCUCCGGGCUUAACCCGGAAAGGUCAGCCGAUACUGCGGGGCUAGAGUGCAGAAGGGGCAACUGGAAUUCUCGGUGUAGCGGUGAAAUGCGUAGAUAUCGAGAGGAACACCUGCGGCGAAGGCGGGUUGCUGGGCUGACACUGACGCUGAGGCGCGAAAGCUAGGGGAGCGAACGGG
rnacentral:rRNA from 1 species